rnacentral:rRNA from 3 species
GACGAACGCUGGCGGCGUGCCUAAUACAUGCAAGUCGAACGAACUCUGGUAUUGAUUGGUGCUUGCAUCAUGAUUUACAUUUGAGUGAGUGGCGAACUGGUGAGUAACACGUGGGAAACCUGCCCAGAAGCGGGGGAUAACACCUGGAAACAGAUGCUAAUACCGCAUAACAACUUGGACCGCAUGGUCCGAGCUUGAAAGAUGGCUUCGGCUAUCACUUUUGGAUGGUCCCGCGGCGUAUUAGCUAGAUGGUGGGGUAACGGCUCACCAUGGCAAUGAUACGUAGCCGACCUGAGAGGGUAAUCGGCCACAUUGGGACUGAGACACGGCCCAAACUCCUACGGGAGGCAGCAGUAGGGAAUCUUCCACAAUGGACGAAAGUCUGAUGGAGCAACGCCGCGUGAGUGAAGAAGGGUUUCGGCUCGUAAAACUCUGUUGUUAAAGAAGAACAUAUCUGAGAGUAACUGUUCAGGUAUUGACGGUAUUUAACCAGAAAGCCACGGCUAACUACGUGCCAGCAGCCGCGGUAAUACGUAGGUGGCAAGCGUUGUCCGGAUUUAUUGGGCGUAAAGCGAGCGCAGGCGGUUUUUUAAGUCUGAUGUGAAAGCCUUCGGCUCAACCGAAGAAGUGCAUCGGAACUGGGAGACUUGAGUGCAGAAGAGGACAGUGGAACUCCAUGUGUAGCGGUGAAAUGCGUAGAUAUAUGGAAGAACACCAGUGGCGAAGGCGGCUGUCUGGUCUGUAACUGACGCUGAGGCUCGAAAGUAUGGGUAGCAAACAGGAUUAGAUACCCUGGUAGUCCAUACCGUAAACGAUGAAUGCUAAGUGUUGGAGGGUUCCGCCCUUCAGUGCUGCAGCUAACGCAUUAAGCAUUCCGCCUGGGGAGUACGGCCGCAAGGCUGAAACUCAAAGGAAUUGACGGGGGCCCGCACAAGCGGUGGAGCAUGUGGUUUAAUUCGAAGCUACGCGAAGAACCUUACCAGGUCUUGACAUACUAUGCAAAUCUAAGAGAUUAGACGUUCCCUUCGGGGACAUGGAUACAGGUGGUGCAUGGUUGUCGUCAGCUCGUGUCGUGAGAUGUUGGGUUAAGUCCCGCAACGAGCGCAACCCUUAUUAUCAGUUGCCAGCAUUAAGUUGGGCACUCUGGUGAGACUGCCGGUGACAAACCGGAGGAAGGUGGGGAUGACGUCAAAUCAUCAUGCCCCUUAUGACCUGGGCUACACACGUGCUACAAUGGAUGGUACAACGAGUUGCGAACUCGCGAGAGUAAGCUAAUCUCUUAAAGCCAUUCUCAGUUCGGAUUGUAGGCUGCAACUCGCCUACAUGAAGUCGGAAUCGCUAGUAAUCGCGGAUCAGCAUGCCGCGGUGAAUACGUUCCCGGGCCUUGUACACACCGCCCGUCACACCAUGAGAGUUUGUAACACCCAAAGUCGGUGGGGUAACCUUUUAGGAACCAGCCGCCUAAGGUGGGACAGAUGAUUAGGGUG